rnacentral:rRNA from 1 species
AUUGAACGCUGGCGGCAGGCCUAACACAUGCAAGUCGAACGGUAACAGGAAGCGGCUUGCUGCUUUGCUGACGAGUGGCGGACGGGUGAGUCAUGUCUGUGAAACUGCCCGAUGGAGGGGGAUAACUCCUGGAAACGGUAGCUAAUACCGCAUAACUUCGCAAGCCCAAAGAGGGGGACCUUAGGGCCUCUUGCCAUCGGAUUUGCCCAGAUGGGAUUAGCUAGUAGGUGGGGUAACGGCUCACCUAGGCGACGAUCCCUAGCUGGUCUGAGAGGAUGACCAGCCACACUGGAACUGAGACACGGUCCAGACUCCUACGGGAGGCAGCAGUGGGGAAUAUUGCACAAUGGGCGCAAGCCUGAUGCAGCCAUGCCGCGUGUAUGAAGAAGGCCUUCGGGUUGUAAAGUACUUUCAGCGGGGAGGAAGGGAGUAAAGUUAAUACCUUUGCUCAUUGACGUUACCCGCAGAAGAAGCACCGGCUAACUCCGUG